UACGGAGGGUGCAAGCGUUUAAUCGGAAUUACUGGGCGUAAAGCGCACGUAGGUGGUUCGCUAAGUCAGCUGUGAAAGCCCCGGGCUCAACCUGGGAACUGCGGUUGAAACUGGCGAACUAGAAUCUGGCAGAGGGGGGGUGGAAUUCCACGUGUAGCAGUGAAAUGCGUAGAGAUGUGGAGGAACACCGAUGGCGAAGGCAGCCCCCCUGGGCUGAGAUUGACGCUCAGGCACGAAAGCGUGGGGAGCAAACAGG
rnacentral:rRNA from 1 species